rnacentral:tRNA from 1 species
CCUUCGGUAGCUCAGUUGGUAGAGCGGAGGACUGUAGGUGUACUAGCUCUAGGUAUCCUUAGGUCGCUGGUUCGAAUCCGGCCCGAAGGA